AGGACGUCCCCGCUCGGCCCUGCUCGGCCCCGCCCCGCCCUGCCCCGUCCCGUCCCGCGUAGCUGCGCGCGGCGCUCUGGGAGGAUAACAUGGCGCGCGAGCUGCGGGCGGUGUUGCUGUGGAGCAGCCGACUGCGGCCUCUGCUGCGGGCGCCGGUGCUGGCUGCCGCCCCGGGAGGAAAACCAAUUCCGUGUCCACGGAGGACUACAGCCCAGUUCUGCCCCAGGCGAAACCCGGCCUGGAGCUUCCAGGCAGGACAGCCAUUCAGCACGCAAACCGCAGAGGACAAGGAGGAACCCCUGCACUCGAUAAUCAGCAGCACAGAAAGCGUGCAGGGUUCUACUUCCAAACAUGAGUUCCAGGCCGAGACAAAGAAGCUUUUGGACAUUGUUGCCCGGUCCUUGUACUCAGAAAAAGAGGUGUUUAUACGGGAGCUGAUCUCCAAUGCCAGCGAUGCCUUGGAAAAACUGCGUCACAAACUGGUGUCUGACGGCCAAGCACUGCCGGAAAUGGAGAUUCACUUGCAGACCGAUGCCGACAAAGGCACCAUCACUAUCCAGGAUACUGGCAUCGGGAUGACACAGGAAGAGCUGGUGUCCAACCUGGGGACGAUCGCCAGAUCGGGGUCAAAGGCCUUCCUGGAUGCUCUGCAGAACCAGGCUGAGGCCAGCAGCAAGAUCAUCGGCCAGUUUGGAGUGGGUUUCUACUCGGCCUUCAUGGUGGCCGACAGAGUGGAGGUCUAUUCCCGCUCGGCAUCCCUGGGGAGCCCUGGUUACCAGUGGCUUUCCAACGGCUCUGGAGUGUUUGAAAUCGCGGAAGCUUCGGGAGUUAGAACUGGGACGAAAAUCAUCAUCCACCUGAAAUCUGACUGCAGGGAGUUUGCCAGUGAGGCCCGGGUGCGAGAUGUGGUGACGAAGUAUAGCAACUUCGUCAGCUUCCCCUUGUACCUGAACGGAAGGCGACUGAACACCUUGCAGGCCAUCUGGAUGAUGGACCCCAAGGACAUCGGUGAGUGGCAGCAUGAGGAGUUCUACCGUUACAUUGCACAGGCUUACGACAGGCCCCGCUACACCCUGCACUAUAAGACGGACGCGCCGCUCAACAUCCGCAGCAUCUUCUACGUGCCGGACACGAAACCAUCCGUGUUUGAUGUGAGCCGGGAGUUGGGCUCCAGCGUCGCACUGUACAGCCGCAAAGUCCUCAUCCAGACCAAGGCCACAGACAUUCUGCCCAAGUGGCUGCGCUUCAUCCGAGGUGUGGUGGACAGUGAGGACAUUCCCCUGAACCUCAGCCGGGAGCUGCUGCAGGAGAGUGCACUCAUCAGGAAACUCCGGGAUGUUUUACAGCAGAGGCUGAUCAAAUUCUUCGUUGAUCAGAGUAAAAAAGAUGCUGAGAAGUAUGCAAAGUUUUUUGAAGAUUAUGGCCUGUUUAUGCGGGAGGGCAUUGUGACCACUGCCGAGCAGGAGGUCAAGGAGGACAUAGCAAAGCUGCUGCGCUACGAGUCCUCUGCACUGCCAGCCGGGCAGCUAACCAGCCUCUCGGAAUAUGCCAGCCGCAUGCGGGCUGGCACCCGCAACAUCUAUUACCUGUGUGCCCCCAACCGGCACCUGGCAGAGCACUCGCCCUACUACGAAGCCAUGAAACAGAAAGACACAGAGGUUCUCUUCUGCUAUGAGCAGUUUGAUGAGCUCACCCUGCUGCACCUUCGUGAGUUUGACAAGAAGAAGCUGAUCUCCGUGGAGACGGACAUUGUCGUGGAUCACUACAAGGAGGAGAAGUUUGAGGAUGGAUCCCCAGCUACUGAGCGCCUGUCAGAGGAGGAGACAGAGGAGCUCAUGGCCUGGAUGAGAAACGUGUUGGGGUCGCGUGUCACCAACGUGAAGGUGACCUUCCGACUGGACACCCACCCUGCUAUGGUCACCGUGCUGGAGAUGGGGGCCGCCCGGCACUUCCUGCGCAUGCAGCAGCUGGCCAAGACCCAGGAGGAGCGAGCACAGCUCCUGCAGCCCACGCUGGAGAUCAACCCCAGGCAUGCACUCAUCAAGAAGCUGAAUCAGCUGCGGGUGAGCGAACCUGGCCUGGCUCAGCUGCUGGUGGAUCAGAUAUAUGAGAAUGCCAUGAUAGCCGCUGGGCUCGUUGAUGACCCCAGGGCCAUGGUAGGCCGCCUGAAUGAGCUGCUUGUCAAGGCCCUGGAGCGACACUGACAACCAGAGGCCUCUGCUCAGGCAGGGGAAGGAGGAUUGACACCACAGAUGACAGCCCCACAUCCUUGAGCUUUAUUUACCUAAAUUAAAAGACCGGCCAGUCACCCAGAGGGACUCCACCGGCUGCUCACCUGAGAUGCUGGUGAUGUCCUCAGAGAUGAUGAGAGUGCUGUCAAGAAUCUAGAAUAUCCUUUGAUGUCAAUUUCCUCCUUUCCCUGCUUUAAGAAAAUAAGCAGUUUAUGAAGAGAGGUCUCUGAAGAAGCACUUCAAGGCCCUGGCAGUGCUGCUGGGCUCUGGAUCUUGCACACGCAGUACAAGUCCUGGGAGUUUUAAAGGUUCAGGCAACUGUGACCUUCCCUGGGGCACGUGUGCCCUGUCACCUGAGGGUGCCAAAAACAAUGGCGCUGUGUGGCUUUCCGCACAGGUGGGUUGCUGGAAUGUGCUUAUUUCUGUAGGUACAAGUUUCUUGCUGCUGUGAAAAUUGCACCUGAUAAUCAUGUUUGCAUUUAAAGUGUCUGAUAACAAG